AGCCGACUAGCUCAGUUGGUUAGAGCGUCGUGCUAAUAACGCGAAGGUCUUGGGUUCGAUCCCCACGUUGGCCA
rnacentral:tRNA from 1 species